CAGAAACUAACUGAGAUGUGCUCAGAGACUGAAGGGGAAGGAUAAAAUGACAUUUAGAAUGAACCUAUGAGGGGAGAGAGCGAAAGAGGGUGCAGACACAGGAAAGAUAAAAAAUACUCUAGGCUUUAGUACACUCGUGCUGAAGCACUGAGCUAAGCGCUUAGCUUUUGCUCUCAUAGAAUUUAACAGUUUGAGUGGCCUAUUGUGAUUGAAGGUCUGAGUGAGCCAGCAUAGAAGGCUACCUAGUCUACAGCGAAGACGAGGGACAAGUUGUGUCAGUAAGCCAAUAUGACGAAAUCUGGGGUGUGAACCAGCGGUGAAUUUUGUCCAGUAACGUGUAUGUGUGUGGACUGGUCUCCAGUUUGGUUCAGGAUCCCUGCAAUAGGUGCUACUGUGCAGGUAUGGAUUCUACUACAGUAUGCACGGUGGUGGGUGGUCUACUGGUUCUGUCAGUGAUCAUCCUCACAAGUCUGUGUCUAUACUGCAAAGGAAACAGCCAACAAAAGAAAAUAACACAGCCCUACAAUCCACACCCUAAUCAAAUGAACCAUGGAACAACGUUCACAGUAAUUCGCCCAUUUACAGAUAAUGCAUGUUCCAAUACCUUAUCUCCAGUGGAUCAACCUCACUUUAUCACUUCCCCAUCAGUGCAUGGCUCAAAUCGUCGCUCUCCCUGUCCUUCCCCUGAUGGAAGUCAGAGUGAUUAUGUCAAUGAAGAAGAUGGAAAUGGCUAUGAGCUGCCCCCAGAUAGUGAUAAGAAUAACGACUACCUAGAUGUGCUACCCGAUGAAACACGCGUGUCCCAGCCUAGUCUGGCAUCUUCUACCAAUUCAGGGCAAAAUUAUGAGAAUGUCCGGCCUGAAGAAAAAUCAAUUAGUGAUGAUGAUGAUUCAGACAGCCAACAAUAUAUGAAUGUCAAAGAUAACAAAGAAAUCAUCAGCCAAACCCCAAUUGGAUCGUUUGGGAGUUGCAGCAGUGAUGGUCAGGACAGCUCUGACUAUGUGAACGCCCCACAACAAGUUACCAUCCAUCUAGGCUGAUUCAAACGAACAGGAGUCAAGAUGAAGCUUGAAUCACAUCCGUGAAGAUCGUAUUGAGGAUUGUUUUUUAAAGCAUACUAUACAAUCAACUUGACAGAGUUGAUAUUUUGUAUUUAGUAUACUUUUUAAAAAAAUGCUCUCAUGCAGUAUGGACAUUUGUGAUAAGUCCUAUAAAGAAUUGUUUUGUUAGUUUACUGUACUUCAAAGUCCUGUUGAUAGGAUAUGCUGACAAUUCCUGAGAAUAUUCCUUUUAAAUCACUUAUUGUUUCUGACUUUGGCUAUAUUAUAUCAUAUAAAAUAUUUGACUUUUUAUUCCAUAAUUACAAUGAAACCAGCUAUUUUUCAUUGGUUGUUGUAUAUGAAACAAUAUAAUCCUUUCUUACACUGCACCCGUUUGUUUUGAAUAUUGAAUAUGCAGCGACCUUCUUCUGCAGUGUGCUCUCAAGAAUUGGGUGCAUGUGAGGUCAUUACUACUGUAUAUUCAAGACUAGGAAGAGUGAUAUACAUACAGACAUAUAUAAUCAGGUAGCACCUGUUAUGCUUGUUUGUUUUUUAUGUAUUACAUUGUUAAAAUUGUAUCAGAUUUAGUUUUGUCCAUCUUGCUGUUCAAAGGCAAUUAGCAUAGCUAAAGGGUCCUGUGGGCAAAAUGUUGAUAGAGAUUUGCUAGAUGCUAUAUGAUUUAUAACUGGUAUAUAAACACUUCUUUAAUCUAAAUAACAUUUUAAGACUAGAUACAGUCAAGAUGAAGACACACAAAACACCAGCUUGGAGAGUUUGAAAUUUUAUUUAUUUUUUUGUCCAUUUUUUAUUAUUUAAUAAUUAAGGGUUUGAGGAAGAAGGGAGAAAUCAUACUAUCUAUCUUUAUAAAAGGUCUCAAUCUUUCGGCUCGUGCUUUGUUUCACUUUGUCACAUUCACUCUCUCUCACUCAUUCCCUCUGUUUUAGACACACACUGUGACCCAUCCACUUCAACAAAAAAAAAAGGUCUUUCCAACAGAUAAGAAUAAAACCAAAACAGAAAAUCUGUUUCUGGAGUAAAAGGAGACGAUGGGUCUUUGAAGUGUAAGUGGCGCUGUGUGUGUGUGGUGUGUAAUUUUUA
ensembl:lncRNA